GGUGCCAGUGAAUUCCUCCAUGUGGAAAAAAUGGCACCCACUGACAUUCAUUGACACUUGAUAAACCUGAAUGUUUAUAGAGACCUACUUGUGGAUGUGAGCACAGUGAGGCAGUGGGUGGUGUGUUCCUGAAGUGGAGACUGCAAUGUGAAAUACAAGACGUUCAUCGCUGGCCCAAAUGCACAGCUAAUGGUCACGACUGAAAAAUAGAGUUUUGUAGCUGAGAAUUUUCUCUAUCAAAUAGUAUUAUUGUGCUCUUUGUAUCUGUUUUAGUUUCCAUGGGAGUGAAUAGAAGGCCUUACUUUCGAUAUGACCUACAUAAAAAAGGGUAGAUUUUGAUUAUUUGUUAGGAGGAAGUCUUUUACUCAGAGAGUGGUGAGGCACUGGCACAGGCUGCACAAAGAUGUGGAUGCCCCAUCUCUGAAGGGACAUUCCUGGCCCAUUGUCACUCUGGUUCCCCAGAGACCCUGAAGCAUGAAGGAGUUUGAUGUGGCAAAGCAAAAAGAAGACCAUGGUUAAGCUUUAGGGUUCAUCAUUGAACGAGGACUGGCUUGAACUUCAAAGGAAUUAAAUACUAAAGCAUAGCACAUAUCUUGUUAGUAUUCUGCUGCUCUCUACCUGCAUGUGAAGGGCCUGCAUGUGCACACAAAUUCCCUUUGUGAGUUUAGCUGCCUCUAGCUCUCCUCACGGUGACAUGUAGAAAAUGGAAUACCUGCAUUUUAAUUUUAAAUUUCUUGUAUUACUGGGGAAUUAGGUCCUACUGAAAGCCAAGUACUUUGGAUGCUCUAAAUGCUAGUGCUAGCUUUCUUGAAGCCAACUUCACCACCACGUUAUAGGCAGUGAUAUAGCUAUGAAAAUGACUCUUCAUAAACUCAGCCCUUUUAAUACAGAGGUUUUACUAGAAAGCAUGAAUCAGGCAAAUUAAUUUGGCAUCUUAUUGCCAAGAGGUGUCUCUCUCUGGGAAAAAAAUAAUGUGCAAUAAACACUGUAAGUGGGAUGACCAACCAGAGCUAAAUGGAUAAUUCUUAUUUGGCAUUCCCAUAUGAUGAAUGAUUCACUUGGUGAACACAAAUUUUAAUUAUGUUUUAAUAAUCUUUUUUUCUGGAUGCGAUUGUGAUAUAUUGUGCAUAUAAAUAGACAAUCAAUGCUUUCACUAAUAGUGUUUUUAAUUUUAUUAGUGAGUGAAUUGCAAAAAGUAACUUUUUUUUGUCUCUCUUGUAACUUUGAAGUUACUUUAUUUAUACCAAUAUUGGUAUUCUCCCCGGUCUUAGUAUUAAAAAUUAUCUGUUAUUUUAACAUCUUCCAGGAUAUUCACACAACUGAAAAAAAAUGCUAUUUCUACUGCCAGUGGAUUUUCAACCAACUUGUUCUUCAACAUAUAUAAAGAGCUGUGCCAUACAGCCAUAUAGGAAAACUAAUUUCAUCAAAGGGUAUGAAAGUGUAGUUGCCAGGUUUCUGUAAGCCAAACACCUUUUUUUGUGAGGAUCAGCAUAAGUCAGACUGACUGUAAAUUCAGAACUCCUCCUCUAUUCCCUGGCUAUUCUCCACAUUUAGUGAGCAUAGUCAAAAGUAAGAACCACUUUAAGAAUUUAUAACUCUACUUGGCAGGUUUGGAGAAGGAGGACUGUAAGAAAUGCAGCAGAGCCAGCAUGAGUUUAAAGCCUUACUGUGAUAGAUCUUACCCACAGAAAGUACUGCAAAGCUGUCAAUAGCUGCUUGUAAACAGUAGAGCUUGAAGUAGGGAAAACAUGUUUUUUCCCUAUCAGAAUGGCACAAAGCUGUGGCUGAAGCCUUCAACUGGCCUAUCUAUCUGGCUGAUGUGAGAAAUAAGAUAUUGAUUUUUCUUAUAGCAUGCAAUCAGAAACUUUGAGAAGCCACAAAGCUAGCAAGCAACACUGUUUAUUAUGCUCUAAGUAGAGAUGUUUGAAAACUUUCACUAUCACAUAUCUUUCUAUUUACCAAAUGCAACCUAAUUCUGUUAUUGACCCAAUAAAUAUAGAAUACUGACUGCUAGAGUUGCUUCUGGUGGGAACCAACACAGCUAGGAACUGGCUUACGUACUGUAGUUUUCCAUGUUACAAAUAAUAUGUUCACUGAAAGGAAAUAAUUUCUUUUUAAAAAAUAAGCUCUGAAUUUGCAAUUUUUUCACAACUACUCUAUUAAAUUAGAACAAUAGUUACCACUCUUUUCAAAGAAAUGUAUUGCAUCCAUAUCCAUCCAGUAUACUUGAAAUUAUCCAAGAACCCAGAAUGAUCUAUCUAGAAAAUUGUACAGAAAUAGAAAUCUUGAUAGAAAAAUUCUAACUAAGAAAUUACGAGAUAAAGUCAAAAGUACAGGUAAUUACUUGUGAGAAAUGAAGAACACAGUAUACAACGUAAGAUCUCUAAUUCUUUCAGCUCAAAGUCUACAUGAGCCAAAGAAGAGAAGUCUGAAGAUUUAGAAACAUUGGUGGGAAUGAGAAAGCCAUGACCUGCCUACAGUAUUUGACCUCAGUAGAAAGUUUGCAUUAUUUUGUCCCUGCUAGAGAGACACAGUAGUUCAAGACCUUCUUACUAAAUCAAAGAGCCCCAGAGAGCGGUGGUGUCCACCAGGAGGUAUUCCAAUGAGUGACCAGCACUCAUGUUGCAAGCAUCUGUUCCGCUGACCAAUGUUACUUCAAAUAUUCUCUCAGCCUCUCUUCGUUUAAAUCAGUAAGUGUAUAAACAGUCCUGUUUUGAUUGUGGGUAGCACUAGCAGUGAGGUGCUCAACACACCAGAAGCACUACUCACAGAACACGGUGCAAGCCCAGGUGAAGCUGCCCACCUCAGCCCUGCAGGCUGUCAACAGCUUUGUUAGGAAUGCUGAGGAAACUGUGGUUGCGUUGCUGACAAGUAUCUCCUUGGAUCUUUCAGAGCAAGCACAUUCAAAUGUGGGAACUGCUCCUUUGGCACCCUCAUAGGUCAGUCUUGUUUUCAGACAUGCUGAGGAUUGUGUAUUGAGGCGUCUCUCAUAGGAAGGGACCAGGACCCUAAUUUACAACUCACUACUGUGGUCUGUGUCAACCCAUGCCUUUUGGUGUUGGACACCGCAGGUUCAGCAUUGUUCCAUGACCCAUGAUGGUACAAAGGGGCUCCCCAUGCCCAGAUUGCCAUGGGAAUUUCCACCCAACCCAGAAACAAUUCACAGGUGUGCACUGGAGCUAAGGAGCCCCUUCUUUGCUGGACUUCAGGACUGGAUUUUCUCUUUUAUGAGGUAACUCCUCCUGCCAAGUCAAGGAGGAGUCAGGGCUUUCCCAGGAUAAGGAUGAUAGUGCUGCUUCAAUUUUUUACCCAAGAUACAGGGUCUAUAUUUGUGAAUAUUCCUUCCACUAUGUUUUUCUGUUCAGGAGAGUACAAAUGUUUAGCUACAAUCUAUUCUGUUCUGGAAAACUUAGCAGAAGCUUAGAGGUAUCUUUGUCCUUCUGAAACAUUUCCCUUUUGCUUGAAAUAUUCAUUUUAUCAAUAUGAAAUUCUGGCUGAUUUUCAGUGCAGUUCCUUGUCAAUACAGUUUAUUAGAACUGAAAUCUAAUGAGAGCUCUUUGCUCCGGACUCCCCGGUGGCAGGUAGUAACUGUAGAUGUCCGUAUGAGAUCAGACCGAAACUCCCUCUAAGCCAAGUCACCAGAACAUCAUCUAGUUCAUGUCAGUGCCACUGUGGGGAUGGCAGGGGGUGUUAGGUUACUUGACAAAGACAGUCCCCACACAGAACGCCACAGCUGGGGGAAAUGAGCUGCUUGGCAUAACCAAAACCUGUGCAGUCAUGCCUGCACCUGAUGAGCUGGGACUGCCUGUCCCAGCUUCUCACCAAACUCCACUUCCAGUUAUGUCCAUGGGUGCAGGGCUAUCUGGCCUGUGUUCGUGUGUAAGGGGCUGAGUUCUAGAGUGGGCUGGGAUGAGGGAUCCAAUCUGUUUGUUUCAGAUGUGAGCAUAUGUUUGUGUGUGUCUCAGCUGCAUGUUCAAGCAAUAUAUUAGAAAACAUAUCAGGACUGUGUGGUUUCAAAUGAACACUUCAAACAGUGUAGAGAAACCCUAAUGCCUUGCAGCUCCCAUAACCUUUGACCCAAUGAAGGCAUGCCAGGAAGUUUUCUCACUAUUUAGGGAGCUUGUAUUCCCCAGCCUGAUGUUGCCCACUGCUACUGAUUUGUGAUGCUGACUUUUUUCUUCUUUUAGCCUUUAGAUUCUAGCCUAGGAGCAUAUUUGUUCAACUAGGUUUGGGGUCAUAAAUAAUUGAAAUGCACUAAGAAAUGGUAGUUUUGGCUGGCUGAUUUAUAUAGCGAGGAGAGCAAAGCGGUUAUGACCUUCUGGCUCUAACUUUGACAAGCAUAUAAUUGGGAGACAAGAAAGAGGCUCAAAAGUGUGCCACUACAUGGAAAACCAGCCACUUUUGCUUACAAAGACAUGAUAGUCUAAAUUGCCUCUCAUGCAUGCAAUGCCUAAUCUAUUUAUUCAUCUUUUAACAACGCUACUGGCUUUUCCACGUUGCUGAAUAUUUCUUGAUGUCUUGCUUGGUUUGGUUUGGUUUUAGCGGUCAGAGAAUAUGACAGCAACACAAGCACGAGUGAAAUCAUUGUGUAUAGAGUGCCAGAAACCUCCCAGGAAUACACAAAGAAGGAGCAGGGAAAAGGAAAAAGGAAUAGGAAAAAUACCCAGGCUGAGCUUUUGGUUCAAUUUCUGUUCCAUUAGUGACCCUUAAACAGAGACAAAAAUCUCUUCACACUGAAUUUGAUCACUACCACUGAAGUGGAGGAAGUUCCUCUGGCUCCUUUCUUGGUCACUAGGACUCUGGGUGAAUUCAUGCCCUCUGUGGGGUUCACUGGUUCUAAUUCUUCCAUGUUAGUGCAAAUUAGUUGUGGUCAGAAAGGAAGGGUCAACUUCCUUACCUACCACUUGUUACCUAUCACCUGUCACCUACAUCUACCGUACCUAAAUCUGGGAAGGAAUCUAAUGAGGUAAUUAAGCUACUAGGAUGCCACCAGCUCUGUGUAUCUGUACUGAUGUAAUGUUUUCCACUACUUUAUUAUUUAUGGAGACAAAUUUAGCUCCAGUUUAAAAUAGGUUGUUCUUUUGGGGAAAAAAAAAAACAAACAACACAGUGCAUUAAGCAUGAAUUGUCUGGAAUUUUUUGUGCUGCUACAUCUUGAUGCAUACUAUCAAAUGCACUUUAUAUCAGUCCUUGCAGCCCUUACAUUCAAUUUUUUAUUAAUGCUUCCCUUGUAAUUCUAUAUUUGCUUCCAGAGUAGAUGGGGAAUAAAAUGGGAGUUCUCCAGUGACUAAUAUGACAUUUUUGAGUUCUCAUGGAUGUUAACAAAAGACUCUGCACUCCAGUGAAUCAAAGCUAUUUACUGUGUUAAAAAUGAUGCUGAAAUUGCAUCCCAUGUGGAUCUUUUUUUAUUAUUAUUAAAGUUGUUCAUUAAAUGCUUGUUAUUUCCUGCAAAGCAAUAUUUUCAAAAAGAUUAAGAGGUCCAUAAAUGAACUGGAUAAGUUCAUGAUCAACCAUCAUUCUGCAGCUUGAUUAUCUAUAAAUCUGUGUGAGCAGUGCUGACAGCCUCUUGUCAUUGGGCCCUCGGUCUGUAGUGCUCAGUUUUCUAAGCCCCUGACCAAGGAAGAUGUGAACACCCAAACCACAUAGCUCAGGGGACACUUCCUCCCACCCACCUCAUAUCUCACAAUCACUGGAUGCCCAGGAAUUCAUGCAUCAUGGGCAAAAAGAGACCAACAGGUAAGUGCUCAAGGCUAUGGCACCUUGAGGCAGAUGGGUGGUUUGAUGGUGGGGCCGAAGUGGUGGCCAGGCUGAGGAAGAAACAUCCUGAGCUCUGCCAGGCAUUUCACUGCUGUAGCAGUGGGAUGGCAUUGACAGUCACCACUUCUUCUCACAGUGAUGGGAAGAAAGAGCUGGUCUCAAUCCCAGAGGGAGCAGUGAAGGGCCUUACACUUCAGGUUCACCUAGAAGGACACUGAAAUGUGCCAGAGUUGCUUGGCUGAGUGGCUUUUGUUUAGGCAAGUAACUCCACCUUGUCCUAAGAAGCCUUUGAAAUAAAACUCUUACCUCAUUCAUUCCUAUUCUCUGUAUAAUUACAGUGUUGAAGAAAAUAUUUCAGCAAAAAAAUUUCCAAGUUCUGUUCAUCUUUUUUUCAGGUUGAACAUUUUCUGAUACCUACCUUGUGGAUUCAGGCCAUGACAAAAAACAUUAUUUAAGCACAGCCUUUGGUUUGACUUACAAUGUCACCAUCCCACGUAAUAAAGUGUUGCCAGUCAUAAGAACGCACAUUAUUCAAAAAUCUUCUGUACGUAUUUUCAUUAAAUACAUUGAAAAAAUAUGUAUUGCUUCAAUGGGUAUAUGUAUAACCCCGUAACAUGGGCCAAUUAUGAAAGAAAUAUAGAUUUGAAUAAUUGUUACUGUGCAGAAAUAAAGGUAAAAGUGAUUAACAAAAUUCUUUCUAUAUACUCAGAGUUUAAAGGCAGUUUUGUCCCAGAAUAAUUAUAAAUGAGCUUUCCAUUGUUUCAGAGUUGAGGUGUUGUUUUCUACUGGGCUUUUUUUUUCUGGAUUUGAAGCUAUUAUUGUGACCAGAAAGAAGGGAGGAAAAUUAUACACAGUCGUACAAAUAGGAUCAAAAUUUGUUCCAUUUGAACUUUAGCCUAUGAACUAAAUAGGAUACGGAUUAGCUCAGGCUACAAAUCUGAACAGACAUAGGAAAUGUCAGCAAUGUUAAUGAGCGAGCAGACAUUUAUCAGGGAGCUGCUGUGAAAGUAAUCUUCUUGCUGAGCCAUUGAAGAUAGGCGACCAGGUUGCACACGUAAUUGGGGGCACCACGCUCACAAUGAGAUGGAACAGACCUCUCUUUUCACAGAGGCAGUGCUACAGUCACAUAUAUGCAAGUCAUUCUGCUUCUUUGUGUGCGUAAUUUUGUGCAUGGCUGCCCCUAACCGUGCAGUCUUUGAGGGGCUGCACUGUAUCAAAUGGAUCCUUUCAUCUGCGACACCUAAAGGGACUCAGCCAGAGCCUUCUUGACGCUACCAACACCCAUCUCCCUCACACGACCAAAAUAGCUUCAAAACAGAUUUGGAUUUAUUCCUUGUGCCUCAGACAAAUAAAAUAGACCAACUAUAGUCAGUGUCAUUUUCAGUUUGUGUAUAUUUUUAGCUUCUUUGAGCAUCAUCCCCGGGGAGGAAGGGAUGGGAGGAAAACCAUGUUUGAACCAUGCCAGAUAUGACGUAUAAGAGCUCAAAGGCCCUACAAAGAAAGGAACAAACGAACAGCAUAGGCUUAUCUAAGGUUAAUAGGAAUCUUUCAUUUAGCAUGUACAUAAAUAUUUCAGGGCCUGGGUCCUACCACAAGGGAAAAUCUCUGCUGACUUUCCUGGGAUUCAUUUACAUCACAGCUGAGAGGAGGUGACAACAUCCAUCAGCUGCUCCUCCAUCACAGCUGGCCCCACACUCAGGUGUGCUCCAUCAGCCAUGCCAUGUGCUUAAACCUCGGAGCCAGAAGUCCCUCAGCCCAGAGCACUUCUUCAUCCUGAAGUUUUCCCUUAAUGACUAAUCUAUAUCUGCUCUGUUCAGUGGCUGCCUUCUCAGGAUUUUUAGGUACAGCACUCAGCAAAUACACUGUAAAUUCACAUCUAUGUUUUCCUCUGAUUUUGAUCUUGCUAAACUCAGAGAGAAAAUUUAUUACCUAAUUCACUCGAAACCAGUCUGUUUAUUUUGUUUUGUACAUGAAAAGCACUUUGGCUACAGUGAAAUCUGUGCUUCUCUGUAUUGCAAUAAAUGUCCCUCUGUCUGUUUUGAUUCACAACAUGCAGAAAAUGGCUGCAGUUGACCUUGUAUUGAUUGAUUGUUCAGAAAUCCAGGUUUAUACUUGUAAACUGCAUCAAUGCAAAGAUGCUAGAACACAAUAAAGCAGAGAAAUGAUUUCAAAUACUUAAUCAAACACAAUUUUAGCUUCACCCUUAAGUGCACUGAGCGAAAUUCAGCUCUCUGUAGGAAGAGAGGUGAGUCUGCUACUGCUGACCAGGUGUAUCUCAGGAUGUAUUUUAUGUAUGAACCUUACAUUCCAACAGCUGAAAAAAGUCAAAUUCAACAGGUGAGAAACUGUGUGCUAGAGGAUAUUAACCACAGGAAGUAAUUCAAAUACAUGGAGCAUACAAAAAUGAUUUGAAAGAUGCGUGAAUGAUGAAAACAUGCUGCAGGAGAAAUAAAAAGAUCACUCAAAUGGGCUUUAUAAACGUCUGAGUAUCUAUAGCUUUGCUGGGAAUUGAAGCAUUUCAAAGUUUGGUGUGACUGAGGGAUUUAGAUCUGCAGGAAUGAGGGUGCAAAUUGACCUUCUGAGAUGCAGAUUUUAGAAGCAGUUUCUGGCUGUUUUUUUGAGUUUUUGGUGGUGGUUUAUUUUUGUUGUUUGGUGGGUUUUGUUCUUUUUUUUUUUUUUCUUAAAAAAGAAAGAACUUUGAUUUCCUAUAAUCCUCAUUCAGAAGGAGAAAAAAAAAGACCAAAGAUAAUUAGGAUUUCAGCAACAACUUUCUCAGUCUGCCUCAAGUCCCAAAGCAAUAGAAAACACAGAUGAGUUUGAACUGGCAGAAUUAGGGCUAAAGUAAGACUUUGCCUCCAGAUUUGUCCAAACUCAGUGAUGUUAAUCAUAUGGCUACUUGUGAGCUCAGGAAAUGGGCUUUGGUCUAUUUUGGGCUUUGUAAAAGGAUGAUUAACACUGGGCGAAGGCUUUAAAGCAACACAACCGAUCUCCAUCACAAGAAGUGAUGAAUUUAUUGUAAGAAAGUUUGAAAGCAUAACAAAAUGAAAUGAUCUGUCAGGGGAGCCAUCAGUACUGUGCUGAGGCAGGCCAGCACUGAAAGUGACCUGUCAGGAGUUCAUCUCUGUGCCCACAGAUGAGAAGAGGGAACAGCAUAUAAUUUUCUGAAUAAAACAGCAAGCAGGGUGCAAUGUAGUUACACAGCCCAGUCUGCUGCCUUUUCCCCACCGUCUGCAGCCAGAAGAAGGCAACCCAACAGCUGUGUGGUGAAGGAGUUAAUUUGCUGUGAGAAGGAUGUCAGAGGCAGUGCUCUUGCUGCUGGGGCCAAGGGGCAGGAGCUGCCUGUGGCAGCCAGGAUGGGUCCAGGUAUGGCCUGCCUUUCUGCUAAGCUGGGCUGCUUCUGGAGGGAUCACAAGCUCUGUGGGUUCCAGCUGUCUUUCCUUUGAAGGAAGCAUUGGCUGAGCAGCCUCUCAAGUUUACCAAGUGAAGAAACUGAAUUAUUUCUUCUUCUCCUGCUGUGUUUUUUCACAAGAGCAUCAGAGAACAUCAGACAUAAUUAUUACCCAGAGGAAACUUAAAAUGGCAAAAGCGGGCUAAUUAAAAAGGGAUCAUGUAAGCUGUAGAUACAUUACCCCCUCACAUUGCCACUGGCAAUGUCUGUAAGGCCAAAUUCUCACAGUGCCUGCUUUAGAUGAGCUUCAAUGUCAGUUUGUCAGCUGCCUGACCAGGCAAGGCAGGGGCAGGGGGUUCCCGCUCCAGGCCCUGCAGGCACUGAGAGACAAAUGCUGUCCACAGGACUUGCCAUGAAACUCAGAGUUCUUGCAUUGUGUGUAUUCAAGAGGAGUCAGCGGUAGCGUGGUCGCUCUGUCUGUGGUUGGAAUGCUGCUCCCAGGCCUUGGGCCAGUGCCCACAGAUGCCCUGAGAGCACCCACUGCAGCCAGGACCAACUGUGGGAGAAAACUGGACGUUGUGAUUGCCCUAAAUAUUCUUGUUUUCAUUUUUAUUAUGAAAACAAGAAAAUAAACACGAAAGGGCUUUGACAUGGUAAGUCAGAUGAGAUAUUCAAAAGCAGCAUCAGCUGCAGAGUUUCUCAUAAGAAAUAAUGUAGCCGUGCAAAAAGCUGCAUCCCUCUUUUUUAUCAGAUCAGUGGUCAUUAAGAGCAGGGAGAGGACCAAGGAGGCAUUAGUGAUUUUGCUGGCUGUUUUCUGUUUUGUCCCUCACCCCAAUGAAUAAUGUUGCACUCCCUCCCCACCAUGAAAUCUCACUUGAGUCAGUACUUUGUUUCUGCUGUUCUAUUUAGCUGGAUGUUCCAGCUGUGCUGAUGCAGUUCUGCUUCUUUUGGUUUUUAAUAUGACUCGGUCCUAAAAUAAGUCCUUACUAAUUUUCUUUUACACUUCCAAGCUAUGUUGCUGAUACAUAAAUGACAUCCGAGGAAUUACACUGGGAGUCUAAAAUAGUAAAAUGAGAUUACUGAUAAAAACUGAUUUUAAGAUGAAGAACAGUAAUUGAGUUUGGCUCUUUUAUGGAUGAAACAUUAUGCGAUCAAUAGAUUCUUACAGAUUGAAGUAAUUAAAGUUUCAUAUUAGAGACGCAAUCUAUGAACAGAUGAGUAGAAUGAAGGGUGAAAAUCUGUUAUAUUAAAUAAUGUCUCCUUGGCAUUUUCCAGGCUGGAAACUGGCAGUAAGAAAAUACUGAUUAGUGUAGAUCUAGAUGUGUAAGUGAUGUUAACAACUGAUAAUUUAAGUAUAGAUAUGUUGUAUUUUUAUUAGACUGACAGUCUUGAAAACAAACAAGAAAGGAAAAAAUAACAAUUCAGAAGUGUAAUACUGACAUACUAAUGACUAUUCACAUGGACUGGAGUUUGCACCAUGGUCUUUUUCCUUGCAGGCCCUCUCUAAAUCUCUUCUUAGUGAGAAACCCAGCUGUGCUCUUUGUCUUUCCUCUCAGGGCAGAGAUUUGGCCACCAUGCUAAAGCAACAAGAAGUUUAGCAUUUUUAAUUAGAAGUUAAAAUAGCAACAGAGGAGCUUGCCAGGGUUGUGAGCACAUGGAACAUGGUGGUACUGCUGCUCUGGUUCAGGCAGAAGAUGCAGCUGCAGUGGGACCUCUCCGAUGCACUGUGGAACAGCCAUUUCUCCACAAGCUGUGCACUCAGCAGAUACCAGAGCUGCUCAAGUCUUCCUAUUUGUAUUACUCUGGAACAUUUCCUUAAAUAUGUGGCAAAAAGCUAUCUGGUGACUUUGAACUUAAAUUAUUAACUGGUUUGGGGACAAGUUAAACUGCAUUUGCCUGUAAGUUAGUUUCACCAUUAAAAAAUAAGUAGCUGAACUAAAGCUACUGCUAUUUUUGUCUGAGAAAAGGAAGGAGGCCAUGCGAGCUGAGUGCUGUGCCAUGAUGCACAGGGACUCAUGCACUUCAGAGGAGACACACAAGUACAGUCUGCACAGAGCAUCCUGCACUGGAACACAGACACCAACUGCCCAUUCCAGGUGAGACUCCCCAUGGGCAUGGAGAGGGCUCAGGAGCUGCCCCAUACGCCCUUAUAUCUGAAGCUUUUGCUGCUAUGUCCACUCUGUGGAAAGCCUAUGCUGGUACUGAGUAUGGGCAGCUGUACAGUGCUCCCCACCUAAAUAACCACUUCUUCACACCCUAGAAAGAAGCAGUGCAUUUCAGCUAUGGCUUAACGACCAUAUUCCACCAGUUGGGCUGGGAAAGAUGGAUGCCAGAGCAAAGGCAUGCUGAUAAGGAGGCUUGAGGCAGCCAGCCCCAAAUGCCACAAAUGGGCAGCAGCAUAGCUAGUUCUCUUUUCUACAGCUCACCAACACUGCUGCUUUUCGUCAGCCUGUUUCACCCCAGCAUUGAAUUCAGCAUUGUAACUGAAGACAUUUCUGCCUUUGUAUCUGUAAGUCAAUUAACUUAGGGCAAUUACUCUGUAGAGAGGUGACAAUUCCUUUAUGGAAGUUAUUGAAUUCUAGUACAGCAAACAGUGCAUCAAUAAUGAAAGGCCACUAAAAGAACACAAUGUACUUCUGCAUUGCUCAGAAAUAUAGAAAUAGAAUAUAUAUUUUUUAUGGACUAUAUUGUCUGGUGGACAUUUAGGCCUUGAAACUAGACAUAAAUUUUUAAUAAUACUUAGAUUUAUUUUUCAAAGAAAAUGGAAAACGUGCUACUAAUUAGUGGCUUGACUGAACAGGAGGGAGAUGGGGAAAGGGGGGUGAAAGUGGAUGACAGAGAAGGUCACUGGGAUGUCUCAUUGGACUUAAUUGACCUUUAGAAGAACUCCCAACUGAUUAGUAACCUUGAACACUGAUAAAUUAGACAAUAUUCACACACCCCAUUUCCAUUUUUAUUCAGCAGAGAUUUCCAGCUUUGUUCAGCAGGGUAACUUCUGCUCUUCACAUACAUGUGGCACUGUCUCUCCAAGGAUAUGAUUCAAGGUUUAGUUAUUAUGUUAUGUUUCAAUCCUUGGCUUUUAAGCCUGUUUCUUUUUGUAUUGCAGUGUGCUUCCUAAACCUGCACAAAGUCCUCAGGUCACCGUAGACAACAAAAGGAAAGAGAUAUUUAUUGUCCAUCUAUCCAUAUUUUUAGUUCUGAAUAAAUGUUGGGAUUAAGUACCAGUUCUACUGUGCCUUCCAGGGAGUGACUCAUACCUGUUACAAAUCUAAAUUCAGCGUCAGGGGAUGCACUAAACCAAAGCAAGGGCAGGCAUACUUGCCUCACCCAUAACUUACCUUUCCCCAGACCCAAAAUGGGGAUGCUCACAGCUGUGCUGUAAAUGUCUGCCCUCCCCUCUGCCCACUCCACUGGUUUCAGCCAGUGCUUUCUAUGCCAUGCAACAGUGCGUGAGGAUUUUGUGCUUGAAAAAUGUUCAGUCUUCUUUGUAUCUUUCAAAACCAUAAGUCUGGUUUUCGUGUAUUUCCUUAUUUCCCGCACCUAUCUUACUCCUUUUCCUUAAUGAAAGUGAAAUGCAAUUUCUAAACAGUAGUGCCGUCUGUUAAACCUUCUCUCAGAAAUAGGCAUGCAUCUGCCACUGAAAUCAACAAGAAAUGUACCUCUGCAGCUGAGGGCAAAACAUGACCUCUGAACAAUUGCUAGCAGGCAAGAAAACACUGCACAGAAAACAGCCUCCUUUCCAAGUAGCUUACACUCUUCUUAAGAAACAUUGAUUGCAGCUUGCCAGGAACUGGACAAAACAGUAAAUCCCUUGAGUACCUGUUAUUUAUGGACAGAGUGAGGAAGAAGGUUUGUUUGAUCGGAAAAAUCUUCGUAGUUUUAAUGGUCCAAUGUAAGCUAUGAGUCAGAUUUUGCAGGAUUUCUUCAGAUUUUUAGUGUCUUGGGUUUGUUUAUGCUGUUUGCAUCCAGUGGCCUAGGAUUUCCUGUAUUCCCUGCUUCAGAAAGUUGCAGUAAUUGAUACACACCAGGGCUUAAGGAGAUAAUAGAAUUACAGAGUCAUUUGAGUUGGAAGGGACCCUUAUAGGUCAUUUAGUCCAGCUCCCUGUAACGAACAGAUACAUGGUAUAUGAAGUUGCAUGGCAUUCCUUUCAUCUCCUGUAUAUGAAACACUACAUGGUAGCAUCUGUUUGAGGGAAAAUAAUACAGUUUUGUUAAAAAUAAGUACAUAGAUUUCCCUCAUAAUCUCACAUUAUGUGAGGGAAGUUUAGCCUGUGACAACUGAGAAGGUAAGAGAGAUGCUAAAGACAAGAAAGGCACAUUGAAAAGAAUGUGACUAGUAGAGCACUGUUUAAAGGGACGGUGCCAUUUGGGGCAGUUUCCUCCUCUUCUGUUUUGUUUCCACUCUUUGUGAUGAAUUUCUUAUGUAUUCAGCCUUUUCAGUCCUUAAUUUCUAAGCACUGCUUUAUUCUUUAUGUCUCUCCCAGAAUAAAAUGGCUUUGGUCAUGUAGCCUCUUUUAUUUAUUGUCCCAACAGUGCAGUAAUGAAAAUAGAGCUUGCAUAUUGAAGUGAUCCCCAUGCAUUAAGAUACUUUACACAAACAACUGAAACAGCUGUGGAGCUUAUGAAGAAACAAACCUGCCUACAGCAGCUGGAGAAAGCAAGAAUCUAGAGAGCAUCCCCUUUAGUCUGAACAGAUCUGCCCAGGCAUGCUGACAAAGGAUUAAAAACAACAACGUGCAUGAAAAAGAUGAUAUCCUUGAAAAAGGAAGAGGACACAAACAGAAACUUAAGGUAAGAGAAAUAUUUAUUUAAAUUUGCACAAUAACGAGCUUAUACUGAACAAAUUCAAUCAAGAAAUAAUAGUAAGUGCAGUAAAACAAGGAAAUAUUGAUGACUUUUCCCAUCAGAAAACAUUAAGAAGCCAUGCCUGUGCAUUACGGUUUUUGUUUUUAGGUUUUUUUUUUUCAGUGUUUUUUAUUUGUUUAUUUUUUGUUGUUUGUUUUUA